rnacentral:rRNA from 1 species
UACGUAGGUGGCAAGCGUUAUCCGGAAUUAUUGGGCGUAAAGAGCGCGCAGGUGGUUGAUUAAGUCUGAUGUGAAAGCCCACGGCUUAACCGUGGAGGGUCAUUGGAAACUGGUCGACUUGAGUGCAGAAGAGGGAAGUGGAAUUCCAUGUGUAGCGGUGAAAUGCGCAGAGAUCAGGAGGAAUACCGAAGGCGAAGGCAGUCUUCCAAGCCGUUAUUGACGCUCAACUGCGAAGGUGUGGGUAUCAAACAGGAUUAGAUACCCCU